CCUAGCGUUCUUUUAUAAACUGUCGGUCAGGGGCAGCAAAUUCCCCGAACACGAGAAAGCCAUCAUGCCCGUCGUCUUGUUUGCUGAAUAAUAAUAAUAAUAAUACGCGAUGCUCUUUCAAGAUAUAUCUGCAAGCGGCCGUGACACUGACAAGAAAGACGGCUUGAAAUCUAAACAGAAAUCGGAGAAAACCUAUUAAAUUCAAGGCCCAAGGCUGUUGAUGUUUGAAGGCACAAGCUGCGACUCAAGAUGAAGAGCUAUCAGCAACUUCCUGUGCCCAAGGCAUCAACAUCAUUGGCAUUCCUCGCUGAGAUAUUCGCACACGUGAUCGCCUUGCCGACUCGUCUCAGGUGAGCUCUCUGACAGCAGGUAUUAAUGAAGCUCAGAUGGAUUAUCAAAGCUGCCGGCACGUCCGACCAUUCAACUUAUUCACGGAAGCAUCCGGGAGCCGGCGCCUGAACAUCGAAAGACAUCCUACCUGGUGGAUGAACACCUGCGCUCCUCGAGGGCUCAUGAGCAGCACGGCCCGCCGCAAAGUGUCCCGGUAGCGAUUGAGUUCCUCAGUCCGCAGCGUGCUGAAGAGAUCGUUGAACACCCGGCUGAUGUUGCGGUCCACCCUUUGCAGGGACACAUCCAGACCCAGUCGAGAGGCCUGGUCCAUGAAGCCAGAGUGAGGGAUCGAUUCCAGGUCUGAAUUGAUGUCUCUAUGCCUGUCCUGUGAUUGACAAAUUGCAGUCAGGCAUGAAAUUAUUCCUCAUCCAGAGGUGGGGCUUGCGCAACAUUCAAGGCAGGUCAAUCUGAGCUGUCGAGCAUGCUGGUCCUGGGUCAGGAGGUUAAACGGCUAGCAAAGCAAACUGUUCUAUUUUCUCAUAAAACACUUGCAGAUCAAGUCCUCAGAGGACUGCCCUUUUUUUUCUUUCUCCCUUGCAAGCAGCUUUGCCGAUCUGGGCGUCUUAACUGAACCGGUGAAGCGAAUAUCGUCGUAAUCCAGUCGAGCCAAGAGCACGGCAGUGCGCAGCGGCGAGAAGAGCCUGAAGCCUCCUUAACAUGUUUCUCAGCGUUUUUCUGACUGGAGCCGAAGCGCUGGCGGGGGCUCCCGUCUCGGACAGCAACGGCGCAAGCGGCAUAUCGCGAUGAAAGGGCUCAGAGGUUUUUACCGAGCUGUCAAGCUGCGUCGCAAUCCGAGCGGAAAAGCCGGAGACGUGGCCACGCUAUAAGCCCGUGUUUAUUCGACGCUCAGAUGAGCCUGUUUAAAUGAUUAUACAUGGACACCCUAAGCGCAAGAACGCUACUUUUGUCUUAAAAUGCAAUUUAGAAUUUUGGUUUGGGUUUUCACCAGGCCACUGCAAACUUUUUUUUUUCUAGAGGUGGACGAUCUGAUAUGCUUGUAAACCAGCCUGUGUAUAGCCCAAGAGUAAUUGAGCUGGAGUGCACGAGCAUGGCUGCACAUUUGCCUGCAGAAUUUUCUGCUAGACAGAAAGAGUCAUUGUUACAUUCAUCUUUUUUUUCUCCCCCCCCGGUUCAUGAAUAUGCAUUGCAUACAUUUUACACAUCUUAAAGAAUAUUUUUAAAUAUUAUGGAAGUGAAUAUGUAAUAUUUGAAGAAAGAAGUGUCACGGCAGAUUCAAUAAACCGAAUCUACCAAUUGGUAAACAAAAAAAAUAAAAAGAAGAGAACAAAUGGUUUUUUUCCAAGCUUUUCAAAAAACUUUCAAAUGCUGUUUGCCUAUUUUGUUCCUCUUAGAAAACAAACUUCACUGACAAAGGUAAUGAA